UACGUAGGCAGCGAGCGUUGUUCGGAAUUACUGGGCGUAAAGAGUGUGUAGGCGGUGCUCUAAGUUCGGUGUGAAAUCUCCCGGCUUAACUGGGAGGGUGCGCCGGAAACUGGAGUGCUCGAGCGUGGGAGAGGAAAGCGGAAUUCCUGGUGUAGCGGUGAAAUGCGUAGAUAUCAGGAGGAACACCUGCGGUGUAGACGGCUUUCUGGACCAUUGCUGACGCUGAGACACGAAGGCGUGGGUAGCAAACAGG
rnacentral:rRNA from 1 species